rnacentral:siRNA from 1 species
UAAGGAAACUGGCAAACGACAAGC